CUGCCUCGGAGUGGGGAAUAACACAACGAAAGCUGUGCUAAUACCGCAUGAUGCAGCUGGGUCGCAUGACUCUGGCUGCCAAAGAUUUAUCGCUCUGAGAUGGCCUCGCGUCUGAUUAGCUGGUUGGCGGGGUAACGGCCCACCAAGGCGACGAUCAGUAGCCGGACUGAGAGGUUGGCCGGCCACAUUGGGACUGAGACACGGCCCAGACUCCUACGGGAGGCAGCAGUGGGGAAUAUUGGGCAAUGGGCGCAAGCCUGACCCAGCAACGCCGCGUGAAGGAAGAAGGCCCUCGGGUUGUAAACUUCUUUUGUCAGGGACGAAGCAAGUGACGGUACCUGACGAAUAAGCCACGGCUAACUACGUGCCAGCAGCCGCGGUAAUACGUAGGUGGCAAGCGUUGUCCGGAAUUACUGGGUGUAAAGGGAGCGUAGGCGGGAAGACAAGUCGGGUGUCAAAUCUAUCGGCUCAACUGGUAGCAGCACUCGAAACUGCCUUUCUUGAGUGAAGUAGAGGUAAGCGGAAUUCCUAGUGUAGCGGUGAAAUGCGUAAAUAUUAGGAGGAACACCAGUGGCGAAGGCGGCUUACUGGGCUUUAACUGACGCUGAGGCUCGAAAGCAUGGGUAGCAAACAGGAUUAGAUACCCUGGUAGUCCAUGCUGUAAACGAUGAUUACUAGGUGUGGGGGGACUGACCCCUUCCGUGCCGGAGU
rnacentral:rRNA from 1 species